UGCCUGAUUGUAGCGAUCGAGCGCCUGCUGCGCUCGAUUCACCGCAGAGCCCGCGCUUGGCAAUUUCGCUGCAUCGCUCGGCGUUGUUUGCGCGGUGCCAGCCUCUAUGAAUAGCGCCGACAAGGCCUCGGCAAGCGUCUCCUUCAUCGACGUUUUCGCCAUAGGCCGCGAUCACGCGCUUGAGUGCCGGCAAGUGUCCUUGCUCCGCCCGCAAAUACAAUGGGGAUACAUAGAGGAUCGAAUUCUCGAUUGGGAUGACAAGCAAAUUUCCACGGAUCACCCGCGAACCCAUCUGGUUCCAUAGCGAAAUCUGCUGGGAGAUCUCGGUGUUCUGAUGAAUCCGGGCCUCGAUCUGGAACGGUCCGUAGACGAGCUUCUCCUUGGGAAACUCAUAGACGAUCAGUUUGCCGUAGUCGGGCGCGUCGCAGCGCGCUGCGAGCCAUGCGAUCAUGUUGUCGCGGCGGCUUGGCACCAUGGGGAUCAUGAUAAAGAACUCGGCUUGCGUUUCUCCGGGUAGCCGCAUGAUGAUGUAGUAAGGGACCAUCAAGGCCACGCCACCAUCGCCGUCCGGCUGGCGCGG
rnacentral:misc_RNA from 1 species